CCUUUACUUUCAACAUCAAAUCCUCAAAAUGGGAGGAGAAGUCUUUGCUAGCCCAAUUUGAAGAGAAGGAAAUUCCUCCUCCCUUUGGUCACAAUGGUGACAUAGGGCUUUCAGAUGAAUUUUCUGAAAAUAUUCGGAUUCUGGUUGCCUUGUGUUAUACUGAGCUUUAUGCAUAUUGUGUCAAGAUUCAUGCGGAAGGUGUUCUUGAAUUCAUAUCUUACCGGGCUAUAAAGGAAAUUCAGUGUGUUGGAGAGGAUGGGGAUGGCUUAAAAUGUGAUCUGACACAACUAGCUGAUCUGGGAGGUGGCAAAUUUUGUGUGGUUACUGGUUCCCGUGCGAUAGAUGUCUUAAUCUACGUGUUUGAAAUAAAUUUUGAUCUUGAAUAUAGCAUUCAAUCCUCCCGAAGUAGAGUUGGAGCCUCCUCAGGAAUCCUUUACUACAAGAAAUUCCAGCCUGGGAGUAAUAUUCAAUCUUUUUGUAUUGUCUCUGCCCCUCCAGCAAUUGAAGACCAAGACAGGGUGGAGAGCACAACUAAAAGGGAGAGAAGUGGGGAUGAAACCGUGCAUAAGGCCAAGUUCCUCCGUUCUUUAUGAGUGGUGUGUUUGAUGUGGGCAUGGCCAUGCUUGGUGCCUUGGACCGACCAUCUUUUUAAUUGAUCAGCUUUAGUUGUGAAUGGCCAGAAGUUUACUUUUUUGGGUUUAUGAUGAAUUUGUAGUUAUAUGCCUUGGCACAGAAACUUAACUGCCAACUAUUGUUUUGUUUCUACCUUUUACAACACAAGGCAAAUUAUAUGGGGGAUGAAUCUGUUCUGGAGCUUAUGGAAUGCUAAAAAGUUAAUUUAGCUGUUCAUUAUGUAUAGAGAAAUGGUGCAUAUUUACUCUUAACAGUAUAUUAUAUUUUACAUAUAUGCCCCAUCUAUAUGUGGAUGCAUUGAUCUGAUC